AGGUUCAAAAGCAGUUGAAGAUUCUUAAAGAAGAAUCGAUCAAAUCAAUAGAAAAUUAUGAGGAGAAAGUUCAAAACAGAGACAAGUUAAAAAUGGAAAUGGAAAAAUUAGAAAGAUUUGAGAAUGAUGAAAAUUCAAGUGUUUUAUCAAAACUGCGAUCAUUAGUAGCAUUGAAUGAGAAGCUCAAACAACAAGAACGAGAAUUUAAAGCACAAUGCAAGAUAGAACUUGAGGAACUUGAAGGAAAGAUCAAAGAAUUGGAAUCGGAAAUCAACGAAGAGAAUGUAG
rnacentral:lncRNA from 1 species